UUGCAUUACGAGGGGUGCCCCAAAGCACGGGCUGAGAUUAUACCCAAAGCUCCACUAGCAACGGAGCUGAAACCUGAUCCAGGUAAUGCUGGCGUAGGGAAGGUAUGUUAACAAUGAU
rnacentral:ncRNA from 1 species